AGGGGAUGGCCGGUCCAUAAGAGCCCUCUCUGCUGCUCCCCCCUGCUCACACACCUCCCUGCCCCGCUCUGGGGCCUUUCCGUGGGCCAGGGUCUUUCAGGACAAACCAGCUUCUCUGAGAUUUCUGUUCCCUGCUGUAAAUGGCAUCUUCAGCUGAGGUCCUGCCUCUCAUACCUGUGGUGCUCAAAGAACUUGGGAUAUAUGGAUUGUCCUGGGCUGAGCAGCUAAAAUGGCAGUGAAGACAAUAGGCAAACCCCAGAAAAGGUCACCCCUCCAGCCUGGACAGAGUGAAUGCUGUAAGAUGGGCUGAAAUUCCCUUUGAGCUGAUGACCCUUCAUCUGGGAGAAAUCCCAGCUAGUGAUAAAGUGAACGUUAGAAGAUGGGUCUUGAAUACAUAGUCCCAGUUUGUGCAAGGAAAACGAAUACAAUGUCCUCGUGUAGGAAUUUUCAAGCUAAUUACAUUGCCUUGAGCCUUGCAAUGCAAAGUUGCAGCUGCACAAUGGAGCCACUUUCGGUUAAGAAACUGCAUAAAAAAGGAUCAGGUCCUACCAAAGGCUGGCAGGCUGACACUUGGGCUGCAAAGAAAAGGGAUUUUUAGAGACUCUGUCCUAUAUAGCUACACGGUGGGGGAGCUAUUUCAGCAGGUAAAAGUUACCUGUAAACAAAGUUCAAAAUUGUAUGUGUUUAACACUGCAAAAUAUUUUAAAGAAAACUGUACUGUGUCUGUCAAUGCCAGUAUAGAAUAUGGGACAGGUCCCAAGGGAAGCUCAGUCCACCCGAGGGCUUACAAACCUUGACUCUGUCCCUUUAAAUGUAAUUGUUAGUAAACACUUUCAUGAAAGAAGCUUUCAUCAGAGAAAAAAAAGUGGCAAACUACAGUGGUAAAUAAUUUGCCUUGGCAAAUAACAUUUAAGUCACUGAUUUGAACCGUAAUUCUGUUCAGCAUUAUCAUUUGCUUUGUAAAUAAAAGUGCUUAUCCAAACAGCCAA